rnacentral:rRNA from 1 species
UAGUCCACGCCGUAAACGAUGUUCACUCGCUGUCUGCGAUACACAGUAGGCGGCUGAGCGAAAGCAUUAAGUGAACCACCUGGGGAGUACGAUCGCAAGGUUGAAACUCAAAGGAAUUGACGGGGGCCCGCACAAGCGGAGGAACAUGUGGUUUAAUUCGAUGAUGCGCGAGGAACCUUACCUGGGCUUAAAUGUAUACUGCAUAAGGUGGAAACACUUUUUCCCUCGGGGCUGUUUACAAGGUGCUGCAUGGUUGUCGUCAGCUCGUGCCGUGAGGUGUCAGGUUAAGUCCUAUAACGAGCGCAACCCCUGUUGUUAGUUACCAGCAUGUAAUGGUGGGGACUCUAACAAGACUGCCGGUGUAAAACCGCGAGGAAGGUGGGGAUGACGUCAAAUCAGCACGGCCCUUACGUCCAGGGCUACACACGUGUUACAAUGGCCGGUACAGAGGGCAGCUACUAGGUGACUAGAUGCGAAUCUCCAAAACCGGUCUCAGUUCGGA